GCUGUGAUGGCCGAGAGGUUAAGGCGCUGGACACGAAAUCCAAUGGGAUCUCCCCGCGCAGGUUCGAACCCUGCUCGCAGCG
rfam:Salmo salar isolate Sally breed double haploid chromosome ssa03, whole genome shotgun sequence.